rnacentral:rRNA from 1 species
AACGAACGCUGGCGGCAUGCCUAACACAUGCAAGUCGAACGAGACCUUCGGGCCUAGUGGCGCACGGGUGGGUAACGCGUGGGAACCUGCCCUUAGGUUUGGAAUAACUCCCCGAAUGGGGUGCUAAUACCGGAUAAAGUCUUCGGACCAAAGAUUUGGCGCCUUUGGAUGGGCCUGAGUUGGAUUACUUAGUUAGUAGGGUAAAAGCCUCCCAAGGGUACGAGCCAUAGACGGUUUGUGAGGCUGAUCCGCCACACUGGGACUGAGGCACGGCCCAGAAUCCUGCAGGAGGCAGCAGUGGGGAAUCUUGGACAAUGGGCGAAAGCCUGAUCCAGCAAUGCCGCGUAAGUGAUGAAGGCCUUAGGGUUGUACAGCUCUUUUACCCGGGAUGAUAAUGACAGUACCGGGAGAAUAAGCUCCGGCUAACUCCGUG